rnacentral:tRNA from 1 species
GUCAGGAUAGCUCAGUUGGUAGAGCAGAGGACUGAAAAUCCUCGUGUCGCCAGUUCAAAUCUGGUUUCUGACA